UGAGGUGUAUACCUAGGAGAUAUUGCCACGGGAAGGUGGAAACUGUCAGAGAAACUUACUUUAUUAUUCAGGCUGAAAAAACCUAAGGGGAAUGGCCAUGUUUCAGACUAGAGGAAGGAAAGGGCAAGGCAGGGCUGGGGAUUAUGGUGGGAGGGCCUGGUACUCACCUACUGAUGUACUGGAAGAGUUCCUUAAUCUCAGCAGAAACUGGCAAAUGCUCAUAAUCUGCAGGAUCAUAGGCACUGGGGAAAGGAAAAUGUGGUUCAAGGUAGCCAGAGAAGAGCAGGGGUUGCUGAGCCCUGGUUCAGCCCGGGUGUUACUCUGGCCACAGGGCAUAUGACUCUGGACCUAGUUUCUGCUUCACCCACAUGUGCCUUUUCUGAGCAGCUUGCAAGGUAACUUUAAAAGUGAUUAUAAUUAGCUCUCAGCUAUCUCUGACAAUGAAGAACAGAGCUACAGAAAAUCCAAAACAUAAUUUAAAAAAAUUUUAGAAUGUAGCAGAAAUUGUUUUCCCUUUUUUUUUUUUGAAUGAAGGGGAUGAAGAGAAAAGAUGGAAUGAGAUCUUAAUUUCUGACAUGAAAAUGGUUUACCCCAAGAAAAAAAGGAAUUUUUACAAAGAUGUUUUUCAGUGUUAUUUAUAAAAGUAAAAAAUUAGAAACAAAAUGUCCAACACUUGAGAGAUGGUUAGAUAUGUCAAGAUGAAUAUCGCAGUUAUUAAAAAUAUUUGUAUUAAUACAUGAAAUGUAUACAGUAAAAAAGUAGUAGAGUACAUAUCAAUGACUAUAAUUAAGUAAAAUGUAAUGAAUUGACAAAGUAUAUAAGUGACUAGGAAAGUUACUUAAGGUUCUUCUGGGAAGAGUUGCUUAACAAAAAAACUAAAUAGUUUAUAUUUCCCCAGAUUAUAAUUUAUGGAAGCAGAAUCAUGAAGUAAACUGGGAAGCAUGAAAAGUCAGUCUGGUAUUAAACAUUUGCCUAAUUUACUUAGUGUCUACCUUCAGGUGGAUAAUUCAAAGAAUGUGAACUCCUUGAAGUCAGAGACCAUCAGUUAAACUGACUCAGCAAAUCCUCAUGAAAUCCCUGAGCCCACAAGUGUUUCCAAUAGUGCAAGUGACAUCACAGGAUUCGGGCAGUAGAGCCGAAAAAGAAGGAAAACUCAUUACACUGGGUUUCUGAGCAUCUGAUAAUCCUAAAUAGAGGAGAUCAAAAGAGCUGCUGGAAUUUCACUUCUCACUGACGUCCUCCUGUCCAGUGUUUUGAAGGAGGCGUUUCCCUCCUUGGCAAGGGAGCUUUUCUCACCCUUCCAGAGGGGCCCCGUGCUCUUCAUCAUCAUCGUCGUCAUCAUCAGAAUCAGUUUCAGAUGAGUCAUCAUCGUCGUCGUCAUCGUUUUCACUAAAGCCCCGCUGAGGAGUGGGCUGCGAGGUCUUCUUUUUCUCCUGAGAUAGGGCAGGAGAUAGAAAGGUCCAGUAGUGCUUUGCAAAAUCUCUGACCUAUGGGAGAAGACUUUAUAUACCACAGACAAGAUGCCAAAAAAUGACUUUGUAGGUAAGAUGUCAAACAGCACACUAGUCACAAAGUGGGGCUAUCUUAAAACAUGACCUUUAAGACUUUCUAUGAAAUCCGUCUCUGUUGCUACAGCUUUCUGCAUUACUUCAAAUAUUCUCCUUCACCUGAGUUUUCAAAACGCCUGUUCUUGGAGGACGAUUAAAACAUAACCAUUGGACCAUGUGCUAAGCCUAAACACAGGGGCUGUUAGACAGUGCACGUGUGCAAAUUUAAGGCGUCUUCUCAUCCCACUUCCAGAAACGGUGAUUCUCUUGGUUCAUAGAAUAACACCAAAGUGACAUCUGGGCCUUAAGACUUCAAAACUGAAGUCUCUUUCACAAAAUACUAGAAGUAUCACAAAUGUUGACAGUGAACCAAUGCCACAAUCAAUCAUUCCAAACUUUCUUUAUCAUAAGAAUGACUUGGAGUGCUUGCUCAAAAUAUACAUUUGCAGGCUUUUACCUUCAAGAUUCUGAUUAGGCAGUUCUGGGUGGGGACUGGAAAUGUUUUUCUAAAUUUUUUUUUUAAAUUAUUUAUUUAUUGGCCG